UGAAAUCUUGCCCCAAAGGGGGGGAAAAGCACAGUCCCUCUUUCACUCACCUGCCAUGACUUGAUUACAAUGAAAAGACUGAAAACAAAGAAGGCUCCAAAAUUAUGUAUUCUCCCACCUUUCGAUCAAAGGUUCUUUACGGGUGCAUUCCUUAAGGCUCCACCUCCCCAACACCUUUUCCAUAUGCCAACCUUGUUGUUAAAUCAGUGAUAUCCUCCUGCUUUGAGACCUAAAUGGUAACUUCUUUACUUGAUCGUAUACCUUUUUUCCUUACUGCCUCUUUAACGGCACUGAGUUGAGUGUGGGUGAGUAUGUUACGGGGAAUGUCUCACAGUACUCUUUCACUCGUGACUCAGAAUAGUUCUCUACUCAUAAAUAAUAAGUGUGGUCAUAGUCCUGACUUGUCCCUGUCUUAAGUAUAUAAAUGAACUUGCAUCAGUAACAAAAGCAAGAAAAUAUUUCUGUUACCUCGCAGUGCCCUAUAUCUGGCACCCUGCGAGGAUCCACUCACGUGACCAGUCCAACACCUGUUUCCCGAUUCACAGUUCCACCAUCAUCCAAGAGAAAGAACUUCUUGGCUUACUCCUUUAAGGAUAAAGACUCCUUCUUUGACGAGUCCCUCUUGUGGGAUGAGGUCAGCAUGACAUGUACUUGUUUGAUGCAGAACGUGUGGAGAAUUGUCAGGAGAACAUGUGGAGAAUUUAGUGAAGACACCUGAAACAAAGGAUGGCAGAGGGAUUCAGACAUGGAAGCAGCAUGGUUGGCUUGCAAAGCUUGUGGAUUCCAUUUGCAUCACUGUUGCACUGCUGCUCAGGGGACUAGUGCACAAAAAGAAACACCAUGUUCCUGCCUCUAGCCAAGGAGAGCUGGAAGGUCUCUCCUGCAUCCCGUUAAACCUGACCUCAGCAUUCAUCAGAGCAAGGGCUUUCAAGACUGUUCUAAGCUGCUCCAGUCUACCAACUGUAAGUUUUGUUUUGUAGUUCAUGCAAAUCCUGACUACUUGUAAGUGUUGCAUGUAAUGGGGAUUGCCUGUUAGUAGCUCUGCUUGGUUUUAACUGGGA
rnacentral:lncRNA from 1 species